rnacentral:rRNA from 1 species
UACGAAGGGGGCUAGCGUUGCUCGGAAUCACUGGGCGUAAAGGGUGCGUAGGCGGGUUUUUAAGUCAGGGGUGAAAUCCUGGAGCUCAACUCCAGAACUGCCUUUGAUACUGGCGAUCUCGAGUCCGGGAGAGGUGAGUGGAACUGCGAGUGUAGAGGUGAAAUUCGUAGAUAUUCGCAAGAACACCAGUGGCGAAGGCGGCUCACUGGCCCGGUACUGACGCUGAGGUGAGAAAGCGUGGGGAGCAAACAGG